rnacentral:rRNA from 1 species
CCUACGGGCGGCUGCAGUCGAGAAUCAUGCACAAUGGGGGAAACCCUGAUGGGGCGACGCCGCGUGGGGGAAUGAAGGUCUUCGGAUUGUAAACCCCUGUCAUGUGGGAGCAAAUUAAAAAGAUAGUACCACAAGAGGAAGAGACGGCUAACUCUGUGCCAGCAGCCGCGGUAAUACAGAGGUCUCAAGCGUUGUUCGGAAUCACUGGGCGUAAAGGGUGCGUAGGCUGUUUCGUAAGUCGUGUGUGAAAGGCGCGGGCUCAACCCGCGGACGGGCAAUGAUACUGCGAGACUAGAGUAAUGGAGGGGGAACCGGAAUUCUCGGUGUAGCAGGUAAAUGCGUAGAUGUCGAGAGGAACACUCGUGGCGAAGGCGGGUUUCUGGACAUUAACUGACGCUGAGGCACGAAGGCCAGGGGAGCGAAAGGGAUUAGAUACCCGAGUAGUC